GCUGGGUGUGGUGGUGGGCACCUGUAAUCCCAGCUACUCAGGAGGCUGAGGCAGAAGAAUCGCUUGAACCUGGGAGGCAGGGGUUGCAGUGAGCCGAGAUCGUGACACUGCACUCCAGCCUAGGUGACAGAGUGAGACUUGGUCUCAA
rnacentral:sRNA from 1 species